rnacentral:rRNA from 1 species
GAGUUGAUCAUGGCUCAGGACGAACGCUGGCGGCAUGCUUCAUACAUGCAAGUCGAACGAUAAGGUCUCUCCGGAGAUACAUAAGUGGCGGACGGGUGAGUAAUAUGUAGGAAAUCUGCCCUAGAGAGGGGGACAACAGAGGGAAACUUCUGCUAAUACCCCAUAUGAGCGUACCUGAAAUGGUAUUCUUGAAAACUCCGGUGCUCUAGGAUGAGCCUGCAUCUGAUUAGCUAGUUGGCGGUGUAAUGGACCACCAAGGCGACGAUCAGUAGCUGGUUUGAGAGGAUGAUCAGCCACAAUGGGACUGAGACACGGCCCAUACUCCUACGGGAGGCAGCAGUAGGGAAUUUUGCGCAAUGGGCGAAAGCCUGACGCAGCAAUGCCGCGUGAACGUAGAAGCCCUUCGGGGUGUAAAGUUCUGUCAGUGGGGACGAAUUUUGACGGUACCCACAGAGGAAGCACCGGCUAACUCCGUGCCAGCCGCCGC